GGUGAGGGACUUGACCUCCGCCUGGCACCCUGGCAACAUACUAGGCGAUCUCGACAGUCGCUCCGUGACAGCCCACCAACCCCCAACCCUCUACCUCGCAGCCACCCUAAAGGCGACUUCAAGAAGAUGGAAGGAUCUCACGGAUCUCAUUCCUAAUGGUCCGCCGAAGUCUCACACAGUAGACAGACGGAGUUGAGAUGCUGGAGGAUGCAGUCACCUCCUAAACUUACGACCCACCACCAGACUUCAUCCCAGCCGGGACGUCCUCCCCCACCCGAGUCCUCCCCAUUUCUUCUCCUACUUUGCCGCAGUUCCAGGUGUCCUGCUUCCACCAGUCCCACAAAGCUCAAUAAAUACCAAGAGACCUGCAUUUACAGCAGGGGGAACAUCUCACACCCUUGCAUAAGUUAAAAUAAA
rnacentral:lncRNA from 1 species